rnacentral:rRNA from 1 species
AUGGGGGAAACCCUGACGCAGCAACGCCGCGUGGGUGAUGAAGGUCUUCGGAUUGUAAAGCCCUGUUUUCUGGGACGAUAAUGACGGUACCAGAGGAGGAAGCCACGGCUAACUACGUGCCAGCAGCCGCGGUAAUACGUAGGUGGCGAGCGUUGUCCGGAUUUACUGGGCGUAAAGGGUGCGUAGGCGGAUGUUUAAGUGGGAUGUGAAAUCCCCGGGCUUAACCUGGGGGCUGCAUUCCAAACUGGAUAUCUAGAGUGCAGGAGAGGAAAGCGGAAUUCCUAGUGUAGCGGUGAAAUGCGUAGAGAUUAGGAAGAACACCAGUGGCGAAGGCGGCUUUCUGGACUGUAACUGACGCUGAGGCACGAAAGCGUGGGUAGCAAACAGGAUUAGAUACCCUGGUAGUCCACGCCGUAAACGAUGGAUACUAGGUGUAGGGGGUAUCAACUCCCCCUGUGCCGCAGUUAACACAAUAAGUAUCCCGCCUGGGGAGUA